AACUCGUUUAUGGACCGCGAAAACAAAACAGACAGCAUAGGGGAAAUGAAAGGGCGAAGUGGUGUGUGAGCGCUGUGUGCCGCUGAGUGGGUGUAUUGUUUCAUUAGGAAAUCGAAGCGCUUUGCUGUGCCGUACCUGCUGGGUGAACUUUUCCACUUUAGCAACUGUCUUCCUUCGCUUCCCCAAAGACGACGGAAAAACUUUGUGAUCCACGUGUCCCUGCCCACCUGUUCGGAGCUCAUUACUGUCAACUCUAUGUUAAUAAAUAUCCAGGUGUAGUUAGCUCCCACUGGCCCGCAGUUCGUCUCCAUAGAUCUCCAUCUGUACAACCCACUUGCCGCAGCGCCGCUGACAGACGCCAUGAUUACACCGUAAGCGCCAGUUUUUCACUCCCUGCCAAAAAUCACGACACCGCGCUCCAUCUUCACUCUACAGGCAAGGAGCAGCACAGGGGCGGAAAUCACUCCGUUUAUUUGCAUUCAAAUGCACUUCUGUUCGCGGCGAAAAACGGUAGCAGCUCCCUCAGUUGUGGGUUUCUGAGAGCGGGGCGGACAUAUCCAAAGAGGUGUUAAUCAAAGGGGAAGCAGUGGCAAACAGGCCCGUCUCUCGCUGUGCGUUCAAAGAAGGAGCCUCACCCCACUUCCACAUGGGCUCUCAGCCUCCUGACGACUGCUCUUUUACAGGUGCUCCGCACAUUCAUCACUCCUCGCCGCUCCUGGAUCAGGCAGAACCGCCGCGGCCAAUCAUGCGCGCGUUACAGUGGGAACCAGUACAGGAGGCCGGCCCGAGCCCAGCCCUGUGAGUGUUAGCACACAAAUAUGUACUGCUGGGGAUAAGAGAGAGGAACGGUGGAGGAUACUUUGUUGUUACCAUGGGGACAAGAUAUAGUAAAUACAGGCAAAAAUGAAUUGAAUACAGGACGUAGACUCCACCCUACGCUGCCUGAAUCACCGCAGCUGAGUUUAUAGAAUCUGACAACCUGUUAGGAGAAGCCACCCCUGUAUGUGGAUGGUAAGGCUUUCUUUUAAAUUCUGUCUCAUCUGAAUAAGUUCUAAGGGGAGUGCUAAUUGUGCAAAGUAUGAAGCUGUAAGCGUGUCAUGUGACAGGUGCUGUCAUCCUGCUGUUGACGUGUUGGGCGAUUUGGUAGGUUCUUACGAAAUGGCAUAAUGAGACACUCCAGAAAAGGGAAAACCACACACAGAAACAACAUGUCAAUCCCCUUGAAGUCAGAUUCGGCGCAAAGACUCGGCCCCGCUUUCUUCUCAACGCGGUUCUUGACAGGCCGAGAAUCUCCUGCUCAGGUUUUUAAAAAAAUGUUUUAUUUCAUUCUGAAUACAUUAACGCCAGGCCCUAAUUUGCCGGCUGAUUUCCGUCAUGCAGUUGAAGCCCCCCCUACACUCAACGCCCUUUCCUCCAUGAUGACUUCUGAAGCUCUUAAUAAGAGUUAAACUGGAAUGGCUGGUGAUAUCGUCGCACAAUAGCGCCGUUCCACCUGCGAUAAAGCUCAUUUUCACUCUGCAGCCAGUCUCCUUUCAUGCUGUUCGCACUCCCCUGUUCAUAAGUCUUUUGACUGGGCUCAAAAGCCGUGAGAACACUGCAGACAUUGUGUAUCACACAUCACUGUCCAGCGAGAAAAUACUGCUGCGGUUUCCCAUGGACUGAAGACUUUUUCACGUUACUGUGCAUUACAGGAUAUUCUUACAUUUUUUACAUUUAACAAUCUAACAUCUUGUGCCCGGCAGAGAUUUUUUCUUAACUGCAGCUGUGAUGUUUUUUGUUCGAUCUCAAUGAUCUGCAACCCUGGCCCUGGAAAGCUAUAGGAUUUGACUGAUUAUCAUUGUUACUCCACAUAUAAAUGAUUCGAUUAAUUUAGCUGAUUUUAUUGUAUACUCAACUCGCCUAGUUUUUAGUCGGAAUUAGUUACUGAUUUUAAGGUCGCAACAAAAGCAUAUCCAAUGGUGCUCCAUGACCAUGAGUUGCAGACCGUUCUUCUAUAUAGAAGCUAAGCUUAUAGCACAGAAAUACUACUGACUUUGAGACAUUUUACAGCAAAUACAAAACAAAAAAAACUCAUAGAUAGCUGUUAAUUUACAAAUACAUUGUAGGUAGGUUGUUGUUUUUGUUCAAUUUUAUCGUCAGUUGGGCAUAGAAAUGCAUAAUACAGAUGUAGGCCUACCUCAAAUAUUAUUGUAGCAUAUAUAUCUAGUGCACUCCCAUAAACCCAUAAAUGUUGAAUGAACAGGUUGAAUAUUUAUCUGUAAUGGUAAGCAUAAAUGUUGGAAUUGAGGAUUAUGUUCAAGUCUUAACUUUUUCAUAUAAAAAAACUAUAUGGUUGGCUAUGGUAUGUUUUUUAAGGAUUGUUGAUAACCAAAAACAUAUUUUUUGGCUAAAUAUAACGGUGCGGAAUGUUCUCCACUGAUAUUUUUUUCUCUAUUUCCUGAUAGUUCAUUAAAUAUAGAGUUGAUAAGUUGAUUGAUGAUAAGUGCUAUUCAUUUUCCAUAACUGAGCUAAUUAAAAUUUGAACUUUAUCUAAUUCAGGCUCUGAUGGUUGGAAAUAAUUUGCUAGAGUUUAUACCGACAGUUCUGAAGUUAAUAGUUUUACACAUUCUCUUUUUCUUUUCUGUCUUCUUUGUAAGUGGCUGUCAGGAUUAACACAUUGUCUACAAACUGCAGGAUGCUGUGGAACAAUUCAAUUAUGGUGGGAACUGCAAAAUAGCAGGUCCAGCAAAAAAAAACAUUAUAACACAUAAUUAAAGCCAUAAUUGUUUUUAGCUGCUAAUAAUACUUGCGCCGAUGAGUGUGUGUGAGCGGAAUCAACUUCAGGGCAGAAACGCUGUUCGUGUUCAGGGAGGGGGUUUGUGAUCCCUGGGCAAUUUGCACACCAUGAGCUGUUGGGACGGAGAUUUUGGAAAUGCAAAAAUGAGAAAAGACGCUAAAACAGACCCGUUGUAUGUUUUAUGAAGAAGAAGGUCACUUAUCAGUGACCGUAAAGUCGCCAAUUCCCUUCAUCAGUUUAAUGAUGGUUCAAAGCAGAAAAAUACUGUGGUGGUUUCUUUGUAAUACACCCCUGGGCUUAAUAUUAUGGCUUCAUUUCCCGUUGUAAUGUUGGACCGAUUCUAUAAUUGUAAAAGUGUAAUAGACUCUAAUAGAAUUUCAUUUUGAACCCUGACUGGUCUGUGCCAUCCUCUGCUCAGUUUGAGUAGAAUAAUGAUUCUUAAUGUCCACACAUGGUUUCCUGUGACCUUAUUCAAUCUCAGGACUGAUCAGGAAAUAUAUUGAUUCAAUUACAGGCUGAUGACAAGUGAACAGGAGAGAGGGGGGGGAAGAAAGGUCAGCAUAUAUUUUAAAAUCUAAAUCUUUACAAUGGCUUUUUGGUUUGCUGGGGGAAAAAGCCAUUACCAAAUGCCAUUUGGAUCAUGCAGUGUCUGGCUGUCCUGGUCUCUGUUUUUUUCGCGGAGCAGAGGCAAUUGUGGGUAAGGGACCCGACAUUUGAGGCACUACUGUAUUAUAAGUAAUUAUUUGGGGGAGGGUUGCAUGAACAUAAUGCUAGUGGUGGGUAGUAUGUAGGAUGAUUUCAAGGUCACAAAUGAAUGUUCUUCAGGGGCUGCCAAAUAGCACAAACUUUUUACUGUAUCAUAGAAUUCUGCCAUCUCCAUGCCCUCACAUAUAUUUUUUUCUUGAAAUAAAGGGCAUCUUCAUAGAUUGGAGACAUUAUAGCCCAUUCCGUGUUGUAGCAGACUUUCUUUGUUUUAUUUAGUAUAUUAAUACUGGAUUUUGUCUUUUUCCCAUUAGUUUUAAAUGCACUGCCUGCAUUUCAUUUGCAUUUGCAUUUGUUGUCAAUUGGCAAAAUAUCCUUUCAGAUUCUGAACAAUAUGUGUUUUAAACCAGUCCCUAGCUGUUUAAUCCAAAUGCUUACCAAACUGUAAGCCUAUUCUAUUUUAGGUUUCCAAUGCAGUCACCCUUUAAGCCACGACUGCUUUGUUGCACUGAAAGACGAUAAUACAGUGCAUUUAAAAACAACUUUAUAUGAAUCUUUCAUAGGGCUACUCAUCUAGGAGCAAAUGUUGGGCACCGCACCACAACGGGUGCUAAAUCUUUGUCUGGUAAUUAGGGUCGCAUUAAAAUUCAAUUCAUGAUUUGCAUACCACUGUAAGUUGCAUUAUAAAUCAUUAAUUGAAAAUAAAUAAGUAAAUACAACUGAAAACAUUAGUGGCAUAAUGCAUGCACCUGCAUAGCAAUUAUGUUUUUUUACUGACUUCCAACAAACUGUAAACAAUUUGAAUUAUAAGCAUUUAGUAUGUAAACACAAAGUCCAUUUAAUGAGCAAUGUUGGCAUCGGUUGAUUAUAAAUCACAUAGAACAUGAGGAUUUUCCCAUUUGCAUGUGUGUUUUUUCACCCCUCAAGACAAAAAUAACCAGUGCCAUUCCUUCCGGUUUCUAAUAAAGAAAUGGAUAAAUGUUCCAGUUUAUAUUUUACCAUAAUAUUUCCUCCUUUUAAAUGCAAAGGAUUGGUAAUUGCAACUUUUCCCCCCCAAAUCACUUCAUUAAUUAAAUGGGAUUGGAGAAGGUUCUGAGCUAAUGGAUUAUGCUGGGCCAGACGUCUCGAGCCUGUUUACUGGAGGUCACAUUUCAUUUGCUGCCUGUGUCAAGUGACUAGCAGCAGGGCCUCAGAAGCAGGCCAAUCAAUGACUCCGUGCCGCGGCCCUUGAAUGAAUCCAUUAAAGUUGUGUGGACGCAUCCUGCCCAGAGAGAAAGAGGGGGGAGAAAAAAAGUCUCUUGAUACCUCUGAUAGAAAUUAGCCCUGAAUUAGGAGAGAGGCUGGCUGGCUCUGGAAGCUAGCCAAAGCAGAAUUAAUAGGCCAUCAGAAGCUCCUGUGUGUUAAAUCCCAUUUGUUCCCCGCGGUUUAUGAAAGCUUUCCUCCGCUGCUCGCGGGCUGAUGCCAGGCCCCCGAU